AAGCCCCGCUGAUCUUGAACGUGAUUGGUCGGUGGGCGUAUAGAAUCUCCGUCGUCAGGGAGACUGCGAACACGGGGUAAACCAAGGGGUAAACAAUCUGUGCGUGGAAUGGGGAGUGGUGAAUGCGCAAGGGCGAUGAUAGGCGCUGAUGUCGUCGAUUUUUAUUUAUGCUAUUAUCCUUAUACAUUCUGAUCAUUUUUUAUGUUCAGGAGUUUUCUCUGUUGAUUUAACAUAAAAAGCGGUGUGUUUAACUGUUAUUGCCAAGUGCCAUAUUUAUAUUGAAAUUGGGGUACAAUUCAACAUUCACUGGUUUUUCUAUGGCCUGUUGUGCAUCAUAUUAUUGGAAUGGUAAUGUGAAUAUAGGUACUCCAUACACUGCUACUUUUGGGUAUAUAUAAAUGUUUGACCUGAUUUUACUUCACUUCACCUUAUAUUUUUUUGCAGGAACAGUUAUCACACCAUUAUUGUGCAAAAAAUAAGGGUGGUUUAACGCGGCACUCUGCCAGCCACUUUUGGCUUCCAUAGACAUCAACAAGCCUAUGCCUCCAACACUACCAGAGGUUGACGCUAGCUCCACGGAAUGUGCUGGCAGCUGCUGGCAGCGCGCCCAUGAAACACAGCCAGGGGUUUCCUCUGUAAAGUCAUUAUUGUCUAGGUACAUGAGCCUUUAGCAAUUGUUAACAGCUAUAAAAAUUGGAAUUAGAAAUGUUCAGGUAUUAUCAGCAUCAGCUAAACAGGGAAGAGAAUUCGGCUACAGCCCAUCUUGCAACGCCUCAAUGAAAUUUAACGAGAAACUUAAAUUGAGGGAGCAGCUACAUAACUGAGAUCCCGAAAGAAGAUAACAGCUUGUUUUCUUCACCGCCACCAGUCUACCUGCUCUCUGCACACUCGGCAGAGCGCGGCAGGGCACCCCACGGAGCUGCACUAGUCACAUCCGGGCCCCACGCCGGUCGACGGCCGAUGCGCCGCUGGGAGGCCUGCGGCGCGGACGACGGAUGCGGCAGUUGGUCAAGACACGGCAGCCUACUCGAGGUGCUUCUCGCCUGGAGGACGCAGGCGAAUCGCGUUAUCCGAGCUGUGCCUCGUCAUGGUGCGAUGAGCCUUAAUAGACUAAUGCAUAUUCUUCCUUUGGCUGUAAUUCAUUUGCUGCUGCCCGCUGGGCUAAGGAGUAACUCUGGGCGCCUACUUUGGGCAGACGCUCGUCCAGUGCCGCUCUUCGUUUGCCGCACAUAUCUUUAUUUAUUCUUUGUUACAAUUCCGUCUUUGGUCAUUUUUUUUUACCAUGGGGGCACUUGAAAGUUUUGUUUUUAAAUCUGUGGACAUUGAACCUGGAAUCGGUUUUAUGUCGGAUUUCGGUUUUGUUUUUGCACUGUGGAAAUAUCUCGUUCAAUAUUUUUAAGAUAGGGCGUGCUAAAACUUUUAGUCUCAUUACUCCUCUGUGCAUCUAAAUUCUAAAGUACUAUAAUGUGCAUCUCAAGUGUUUGGUGCUGUACUGUUAUUAUUUAUGGUUAAUCCAGUGCUGUACUGUUAUUAUUUAUGGUUAAUCCAGUUUUUAUUCGAUUGAAUCGUUGUGUGUAGUGCAUGACAUCCGCGUACCGCCUGUAGCAGUGUUAUAUAUUUUCAUUUAUGCUGGAAAAUAAUAACUUUCUUGUUCAUUG